AACGGCCGUAUCAUGCUGAAUAUACCGGUUCUCGUUAGAUCACCGAAGUUAAGCAUCAUUGGGCGCGGUCAGUACUUGGGUGGGUGACCACCUGGGAACACUGCGUGCCGUU
rnacentral:rRNA from 1 species